CCAAAAAAUUCAAACGUCAAGGUUACGUGGAAAAUCACGUACAACAGAAAUCGCGUUCAUUUCUUUAGUUCACCUGACGAAGAUAACAGAUACCGAUUCAUUGAUGAUGAUCAAACCAAAUCCUUGUGGCCUUCACUCUGGUACCCAGUAUCUCUUACGUGAAAUUUCACGUAACCUAUUCAUUUCAUUUUGACAACCUUUUGCGUUCAUCCACCGAUGCUUGUGGAGCGCAAACAAAUCCAAGAUGGCGGCAGUUGUAAAUAAAUCUAUUUUUGUUACCAAUCCAGCGUUUCAAACAACUGAAUGAUGAACGGUGGAUUACCAUGGGAAUUUAAAUAUGGAGCGGCACAAAAAACGAGCUCAGUGCAAAAAUGAGCUAGCUGAGUGAAAGUGCUUUUGUUAUAGUUUGUGUUCAAUGCAAUCGUGUUUAAAUUAUAAUAAAUAAACAAAGGAUCAAGGAAUAA